rnacentral:rRNA from 1 species
UACGGGGGGAGCAAGCGUUGUUCGGAUUUACUGGGCGUAAAGGGCGCGUAGGCGGUCAGCACAAGUCAGUUGCGAAAUCUCCGAGCUUAACUCGGAAAGGUCAACUGAUACUGUGCGACUAGAGUGCGGAAGGGGCAACUGGAAUUCUUGGUGUAGCGGUGAAAUGCGUAGAUAUCAGGAGGAACACCGGUGGCGAAGGCGGCUACCUGGACAGAAACUGACGCUGAGGCACGAAAGCUAGGGGAGCAAACAGG